UUAAACUAGGGAUUAGAUACCCUAUUAUUAAAAUUUAAAUUUAAAAUACUAAAAAAGUAUAUAAUUAUUUAUUGAAACUUAAAUAAUUUGGCGGUAUUUUAGUUCAUUUAGAGGAAUCUGUUUAAUAAUUGAUAAUCCACGAAUAAAUUUACUUAAUUUUUUUAUUUUGUAUAUCGUUGUUAUAAAAAUAUUUUUUAAUAAUAAUAAUAUUUUAAAAUUUUAAUUAAAAAUUAAAUCAGAUCAAGAUGCAGAUUAUAAUUAAGAAUAUAAUGGAUUACAAUAAAUUUAUUUAAAUGGAUAUUAAUUUGUAAAAUUUAAUUGAAGGUGGAUUUAAAUGUAA
rnacentral:rRNA from 1 species